CCUUUGCUAGCGUGGAAACCGCCCGACGAGACGCGCCGUACCGGGCAGCCGGCAGCACCUUCGGAAAAGACGACGCACC
rnacentral:ncRNA from 1 species